GCUUGGUCCAUCAAUGACUAUGUCAAGAUGCUCAGGGAUGCAACCCCAUGCUCUGGGUAUCCCUAAGCCUCUGACUGCCAGCUGUUGGAGUUGGUGACAGGGGAUGGAUUACUUGAUGGUAUCUAUCCUUUGAUCAGACUGUGGCCACAGUCCACACCUGGGGAAUAAGGGCCAUCAGCAGCUUCACAUGUCAAGUGUGCCUUCCUUCCCUCUAUCCCACCUUUAUAUCUUUCUUUUCCUUUGUGUUCUACUUACCAUGUAUUCUACUUCUUCCUCUCUAUUUCCCCUCUCCUUUCUGCUCCCACUUCUCCAACACUUUAUUAUUCUUUCCUAAAUCACCCCAUCAAUCUUCUCUCAUACUUCUGUCAAAUCUGCUGUAUGUGGAGGACACCUGAAACCAUUGAACACAAAUAAACAUGAGAGGUUGUGUGUGGGGGACAGUGACCAGGGACAAUGCCUAUGUGAGAAUCCAAACUUCUGCUACCAAGCUGCUGGACAAAGGAGAGUGCCGGGAUUCCUGUCAGGGUACAAUCCCUGGAUCGAUCUUAAGGGCUUCAUUUUGUGCAUCAGUCUCCAGCAAGUAGGUGUCUGAGCUACAUGAAGCCGCUUCCCUCCACCAGAUCCUCUAUGGCCGCUGGAAGAGAGGAAAUUUCUCUGCUACUUAAUUUUUACCUUACACGUUCCAGGCUGCAACAAGGAUCCAAAGGGCAUGCACCUCUGCUCAUCUCCUUCCCUUCUCCACCCCUCAUCUCCAAAAAUGUGGAUAGCCAAAUCUAAACGCAGAAUCAGGAGUGAGACCCAUGCAUGGAACUAGGAUUGUAUUGGCCUCAAGGUGAUCGCCUAGCAAGGGUUAAAGGUAAGUCAGUGGAGCUAAAUUGAACCUGCAAAGAAUGUGGUCCAAGGUGUCCAUGCUGAUAGAGCUAACAAUCAAAAGCCAUUCACCACAAGAUAUUUGCUCAUUAGCAGGAUCACUUAGACUGGAUGAAGCAGCUCUUUCAAUGAGUUUGUUCCUACCUCUAAGAGAAGUUCCAAAGGGUAACAUGACAGGAAACUGCUCAUCUUUCCCAAAGCUCCUCAUAGUUAUGGGAUCUUUUAGAAACAUAUAUAUCUAGGACACGGCUAAAGCACCUAACCCCCGUGCUAUCUAAGUUAUCAGUGUUACCCUUCCUGUUCGUGUUAAAUGAAACCACUUUGAAAGAUUUGUGAUGUUUAAGACUACAAUGUCACCAGUACAGAAGGAUAUUCAGCUACAUGCUUCCUUUUUCCUUCAGAUUUUAGUUUCAAUGUUCUUACCAGUAUUUGACAGAUAUAGCCAUCUGGAUAAAGGUGACCUGCCUGCAACUUCUGCUCACAUUGUUACUCAAACCCAGAAGACACAAAAUUUGAAUGCUAUCUGUAAUUUCAGUAUCACAAAUUCAGACAAGCAAACCUCCUUUUCCAUCUCUUUAAAAAAACAGCUAAGUAAAUACAUCUAUAUUAAUCAAUGCAACAUUACCUUUGAGUUUUUACAUGCACAAAAACUACAACAAUUGCAACACUGUAUGGGGUGUGUAAUAUAGCCCCAUUUAAUCAACAUUUGUGUAUACCCCUAAGAUUUCAAAGCCAUGCAAGUCGGUUUUGAGGCCAAGCAGAAUUUAGUUUCUUUACCACACCCAGGAAUUAAUUUUUCAUAGGUGGGCUGUGUCUGUGUUACAUAAAGGCAAAAAUGCCAACACCCCUCUCUGCUUAAAGAACUGUGGAACAAAGAAGAUUUUGCCAACCAUUACUCUGAUCACUCUGCUUGUAUAUCUCCCCCACCCCACCCCCUCGGUCUUGUCCACUUAGUUUGUAAGUUCUGCAGGACAGAACCAUUUCUUCUAUAUAUUUCCAUGACGUCUAGCACAAUGGAGCCCCAGUCUGGCAUUUUAGAGCUGAUGCACAAACAAACAGAUUUCAGGGCUCUGAGGGCACUAUUACGAGGGUAAUAAAAUAUACUGAUUUGUUUAGACUUUUUUAGAAUAUGCAGUAAGGUUAUAUGUAAUGGCUAGAUAAGGAAAUAGAAAUAAUGGGACAGUCAUGUCAAUACUGAUAAAAUAAAGAAUACAGAUUUCAUAAAAGGAUUUUAAGCAUUCACAUAGAGUUUGAGAGCCUUUUUCUAUGAUAUGAAUGUUCCACCAUGAAUGUUUCAGCCACAUCAGCUGAUGUGCACUGAUCAUAUAGAUAUAUUACCCUUUAAAGGCUCUUUGCUACAUUAAGUACAGGUUCCAUGUACUUACCUCAAGAACAUUUAGCUGAUCUAACACAUUCUACAUGUAUAAAGGACUUUUCUAUUUUUAUUAUACCCAGGCGUGAAUUCCUAGGUCCUGAUGAAUACAGAUUUCAUUUGUAUCUCUCUCUACAUCCAUCUACAUUGCAUAUGGUUACGUAAAAAUUUCAGAAAAGGAGACAUUCACAAUCUUCAAUUUUUCUAUUUGCUUACGUAACAAAAGGGGAAAAUUUUUAAAGGAAUAUCUCCUGUCAAAGUAUUCUCUGUCAAGACCUUUGACUCUGAUAUUCACUUUCACUCUAUCCAAAGGAGCUCGUAUUUUGUUAUCCUUCCAGAAAAGGCCCCUCUUUUUAAUCAGGAAUUCAGGCCUCAAUCUCACAACCCUUCUUCAUGAGGCCAAUUCUGUUGAAGUCAAUGGAACCAUGCAUGUAAGUAAGGGCUACAGAAUCAGGACUGGGUGGAGGGAUUGCAGGCUGUAACUGUAUUUUAUAGAAGUGAUUCUGUUUAUCUUGUGAGCAGCUGAUUAUUAAGGGUGUUGAGCAGUUUCAUUGUAUUUACGGGAAUCUUAAUAUUAUGUCAGAGCAUCCACAGCAAACGCACCUGGCUACACUUUUACAAACUGAAAGAACAGGAAGAAGAGCGUGGAGAUGGAAGAGAAAAAGGAAAGGACGGAGAAAAUGUAAAAAGGAAAGAACGGGCAAGAGACUGAAGUGGGGAGCGAAGAGGGAGAGAAAUGAGAUGGAUAAGGAGGUGAGAGGGAGGAGGAAAUGAUGGGAGGAAUAGCGGGGAGAUGGGGAGAAUAGCGGGGAGAAGGGGAGAGAGACAGAACUGAGGGAGAAAAAAAAUGCACAAGAAUAGGCAAAAACUCAGAGAAAGGUGGUAGGGAGAAAACAAAUGAAAAGUAGAAAGCAAACUCUGCCAAAAUAUAAAAAAGGGGUGGGAAAUGAUAGAGGGGAGAGGGAUGAAGGGAGCUGGAUAUAAACCAGCGUGAGAUGCAGCUGCAAUGCUUUUCGAGGUUGAAAUAUAACUCCCCUGCCUCUGCUAAAAACAUAGUGGAACUCCUCCCUCUCUCCCUGACUUAGGGGAGCACUGCUCCCCACUCUUCCUCAGCUGGUGUGGCAAGUGCUCCCCUUCCUGCUUCAAUGUCCUUUACUCACUGACUGCCAGGAUGUAGCAUGACAUGGGGAAGAAAAGGGGGUUCAUUACAAAUACUCCAUAAAUGGGAACUCCUUCCCAUAAAGGUAGGAAACUACGUGCAUGGGGACUGAUCAGAGUGACAUUAAGCAGCUCCAGAGGGAGCUUCAUGCAUUCAGCUAGCCCGAGGCUGGAGUAGCAAUGAAGAUUUGCCUACCGAAAGGUCAGAUAUUACUGCUUGAGGGAUGUCCCUUGUCAGGUAGAAGCUAUUGCUGCUUGGGAAAGAGAAAGGAGAAGGAAGAGAAACUAUGUUCUCAGUAUGAAUGACUGGCAAAGCCCACAAUUCCCCUGUGGCCACACAGACAUUUUGAUUCAGUCAGGUGCAGUGACAGCACACUGGGAUGAAAGCUUGUGUGUGUAUAAAAACAAAUCUAUACACAUAAAGUCCCUUUUCUGAAAAGCAAAACAGAUAGUAUAUUUUAGAAAGAGAAUUGAAUGCUGAAUAUCAAACGUAUCCCAGUAGGUAAAUUAGUAACUCAGACCAAUUUAUAGCACUAAAGAAACAAGCAGCUGUCUCAGAAAUGAAACCAAGAAGGCCUUACCUACAUUAGACCUAUUUUCUCAGAACCCUUGGCCACUAGUGCAGCUCCACCAUUGUAGCAACAAUGAGAGCACCAGAGUUAAUAGUCAUUAGUGGCUGCUGCUGUUUUAACCACCAGGUGACCAACCUGUUUGGAGCAGCAUUAAACAACAAGGUGGUCAAAAAGCAGUCUACACUACCCCUCCCACUGCUGCUACUGAAUCAGUGGUAGCAAUGGCGGGAAAUUUUAAGGAAAUGGGUCUAGUACAGACAACCUAAAAGUACAGCAGUAUUUUUAGUCCUCUUUAAAAUGCGUAUUUCUCAUUUUAGAUGAAGCUAGUUUUGUUCACACGUCUGCUCUUUGGUUAGCCAAUAGUGGAAACGUUUAAUAAGAAGACUGCACAGAACAGCUAGCUGCAAAAUGCAUCACAAUACAUGCAGAUUUCAAGCUCUAAAUGCCUUUAGAAGUGUCUAUACAUUAAGGUUCAAUGGUUUAUGAAUAUCAAUUUAUCAAGUUAUAAAGGUGUAAAUUCUCUCUCAAGGUGCCUGAAUAUCAAAGAGUGAACAGUUCAAUAUCCCAUUACACAUCUGUCAUGAUCACUAUUGGACAGGAUCAUCAGGUGUAUGCCAAAGAUAAAAGCUGUUCAGGCCCUCAAUAUUUCAGAAGGUUUGGUACUGAUGGAAGCUGAACUUUCCAUGAUUUAUUAUGAAGACAUAAACCAAGCUAUAGUAAAAAUUAAAUUAUGAUUUUUUUUUGUAGGAAGCAGUUGGCAGAGGUGUAUUUGUUUUAUACUUAUAUCUAUAUCUUUCUGGUUUAUUAAAUAUAUGUGGAGUCUGUUGUACAUUUGACAAUUUUUAUCAUUUCAGCUUAUUUGUCUAAAUUAGAAGCAUGUAAGAAACCAUCAAUAAUCUCUCCAGUCAGCACCAUUAAAUAUUUUAAUGUGGGUUUGUGGUAACAUAGCUCAUAAUUGCUCAUUGCUAACAUGUCAACUUCGAAGUUUUAUUUAAAGCAGGUACUGUAGAAGGUCUACUUUCAUAAUCUAACAGCACACCAGCAAAAAAAUCAGAGUACUACUUUGGCCCUGUUUACUGUACUAUAUGAGCAUCACUGAAUUAGGGAAGUGCAACUAUCCCAUUUUACAGUGAAUUGAGGCAAGGAGAGAGUAAGGGACUUGCCCAAGGUCUCACAGGAAAUUUGUGGCAAAAGCCAGGACAGGUAAUCUAAACAUUGUCUAGUUCUCCUUUUACUGCCACCAGUUAAACACUAAGGCCAGGUCUACAUUAAAAAAAGUCAAGUCAACUCAGCUAUGUCACCCGGCCACGUCACUCCACAACCCCGAGUGACGUCGUUAAAUCAACUUAAUCCCCAGUGUAGACAGUAGUAGAUCAACGGAAGAAUUCUUGGGCAGUUGGAUUAGCUACGACAGGGAACCCCUCCUGUCACUGUAGAGAGUGUCUACGCUGAAGCACUGUGCUGCUGUACCAGUUUAAGUGUAGACAUAGCUUAAAUUUUCAACGCUGAUUCAUUUUUAUGAAGGGCCAAAACAUACACCCUGGAAACCCAAUUUUAAAAACACAAACAGCUCAGAAUCAGUUGUUCUUCUCUACAUUACCUGUCAAGACCUGAACCUGAAGUUGGGCAUUUCUUCUGCAAAAGAUGUCACAAACAUCUUAAGCAGUAUAAAGAAAUCAGGUUGUUUUUUUUUUUAAAAAGUGUUUGUGAUACAUAACUGUCACAGGUUCUUAUGCUGCUGAAGAUCAACUGACUUUUAAAAAGGUAAUUUGCAAAUUGGCUUGACAAAAAUCCAUUAACUUUGGAAUUAUAUACUGAAUGCCCCCAAAACCAAGGCCAAAUAGGGACACUGAGCAUACAGCUGAUUUUAAAGGUCCCCCCCCGCCCUUUUAUAUAUAUUGCCAUUAAUAUUAAUAUUGUUUUCUGUAAUUCUGAGUAGAUCACAUUUAAUUCUAAUAUAGUUAAUGGACAAUACUGAGUCAAUUUAACAUAAUUCACAGCUCAGAGAUUUAAAGGUAGUUUACAAGUGUGCAUGCUCCCUUUCCUAUCUCACCCCAAAAAUCCCUUUCAUAAUUAUGUUCUGAAUGCCCCAUUCUAAGAGAAGCAAUCUGUAGGUUUGUAAUUUUAAAACAUCCUUUGUUUUUUCUAUAUCCAAAGGCCACAUCGCCAUGUAUCAGUAGCUUUAAAUUCCUUCUCCUGAUACAUUCUGCUGAUGGUCUAACAUCUGCCACUGAACACCAUGGAUAACAUAUCUUGCCAUUAAAGGUUUAAUUUUCAGGCCCUUCAGACUGUUUACUUAGCACACUGUUGGAAAAAUCUGUACAAAUUUUAAAUGUUUUCAAAAACAGCAUUUUUUCUAAACAUUUACAAAACAGUACACUGUUCUAAAAAUAGCUAUGUUACUGCUAGAUACAGAACCCACUUUUCAGAGUGCUUUCCAGUAUGAAGCCACCAGCAGAAUGUAUAUUGUGACAUUCCUCCAAAAGGAAUUGGGAAACCUAGACUUCACAAACCUGAAAAGUUAAAAACAAAACAACAUAUAUUCUAGAUAAUAAAUCUGCUGCUUGCCUCUCUUAUUAAGGUUAUUUGGGGCAUUGAACACAGAAUUCCAGGCUGUGGAGUUCUUUUAAUAUGCAUGUGCAGAGGGGAAAAGAUACAAUUAAAGGGUCUGAAUCUGCAAAAACUUCGGCUAUAUCUACACUGGAGUUUGCAACUGCACUGGUGCAGCUGCACUGCUGCAAGAUCUCUCGUGUAGCUGCUCUAUUCCAACAGGAGAGAGGUCUCCCAUCAAU